rnacentral:lncRNA from 1 species
UACUUAAAGACAAAUAUUAAAGAUUAGAAACCAUUUUCUUUAAAAUUUUUUGAGAAAGGCAUAAUACAUAUUCAAUUUUAUAGUUGCCUUUUCCCCAACUACACCAAAUUUCUACUGUCAAAGCUAGAAAACCUCUGUAGAAUUAAGAGAGCUAAAAUUUUAUUUUGAACUUUCUUCUAAGUAGAUAGAGUUUCAUUCACAAGCAGAUAAAGAUAUCUUUGUAUCCUACUUAUUGCAAUAAUAGACCGGAUGGAUUCUUGGUAAAACCUGAAUAUUUUUAAAUGCUCUAUAUGUUCUAGUUCUAAAUUGCAUGUUUUAAGCAUAUUGCUUUGAAAUCCUGAAAAAAAUGCAUACUGAAUUUUGAUGUGUUCUAAAACAGUCAUGAAAAUUAACAUCUUCCCUCAGCCCAGGGCCAAACAGAUUUUUUUGCAGGGCCAAAUUAGAAUCUGCCUACAGGCUUCAGAUAAAAAAAGGUAGCAAGCAGGCAACUUUUUAAAGUCAGAAAAGGCAAAGUAAUCUUAUAUGGCUAUCUUUUUUGGUAAUCUAAGUAGCUGGGGAAGUGAAUUAUCUUUUAAUUUAGGCUUAACCCUGGCAGAGUAUAUGGAUGUUAAUAAAUCUUUUCCAGUGUAUAAGCAGGUAUAAUGGUACUUUAUAUCCGAUAGACAACAAAUUGUUUGAAUAUAGAAAUAUAAAUUACUGGGGGGUGAAAUUUGCAAGGCACAUUAACUAGGUGCUCUAAAUUUUUGUUGUUGUUGUUUUUGUUGUUGGAGUUUACGUUUGAAAAGGCCUACCUUCUGAUAUGGAGUUGGGAGGUCAGAAGCCAGAAUCAUGGAUUACUAAUUCCAGAUUACUAUUUCUACCUUCCCUGACAUUCCAUAGGUGAAACUCCAUAGGUGAUAAACAUUUACUCUUCUAUCUCUUGCUGAUGGAAACCCUUCUGGUAGAACUUAUUUCCAGCAUUGUAUUCCACUGGCUCCUUUAGUAGUCACUUCUUGUUCAUCCUUUUCAGUUCUUUCACAGUUUUGUAUCCUUUCUAGUCUGCUGAGAAGUGUCUUAGAAGGAGUCUAGAAAGGAAUCAGCCAGCCAGCCAGCCAGGAUGUUUUCCGUAUAACAGUGUUUUAUGGUUCUUUCCAAAGCUGCUAAAAUGGGAAUCCUUCUUUUGCAGUUCUCCCAUCAGAUUACAGUUUGAAUGCCUGAAGUGUUGGCAAUAUCCCAAUCCUGAGACCCUGUGAGUUUCUCUCUGUUCUCUGGAGUCCCUAGUGAUACUGGCCUGCAGGAUGGUCAUGAAACCUCAUUGCAGUCUAUUCAACUUCCUUUGAAUCCUUUUCCAGGGCAGCUACUCCUAAUAGGCUAAGUUCUAAGCAGCUUGUAAAAUACCUGACCUGUUCUUUAUGGCACUCCUUUCAUUUGAUAUACUGACAUAGUCAAAUGAGUCCUCAAAGGCAUCAUGUUGGCUCUAAUUUUCCCCUCCCCUCCUGCCUCUAGUCUCUGCAUUUUCUAAAAUGCUUCAAAUCUUUGAGGAGUGAGUUCUAGCGGAAAGCCAGUGUUCUCAAAUGUAGCGGACUGGGGUUAUUCACAAAUAUUUAACAUUGUAAUUAUGUUACUCUUGAGUUGGAGCUGGUGAAACAUGAAAUUCUUUGUCUAGGAGUACCCAUACCCAGAUUUUAAUGAACCCUAACUGAAUCUCGUCAUCUGCCAGGCAAGGCUAAUACUAUAGGUAUGGAGGAAUUUCAUGAGAGUGCUCAGAUCUAGUUUAUCAAGAAGAAUGCAGCACAAAUCUUUGAUUCAUAGUCCAUCUGUUAGAAGUUUGAGAAACUUUUAACCUCUGUGUUAAUGUGUCUGAUGAGCAUACUCCCUGGAUUAAAUGCCAAGAGGGGGGGUAAAUUAUGUACUACUAGUUCUACAAGAUACAAGGAUCUCUAUGGAUUAUCCUAACUCUUCCCCCUUCCAGUGAAUGAAUUAUGCUUACUGGUUAUUGAGGGAAAAAAAAUUCCUUUAUACCUCUUGAAGAUCUCUCUUCAGAAGACUCUAUUUGACUUUAGAUUUCUCUAACAGUGCUCAAUCAAUGCAAAACAAACAAAAAAACUGGAUUAAUAUUUAGGGCUGGAAAAAAAGUAACAAAUAUUCUCUCCCCUCACCACCUCUCCAUUGUCUCUUUUGGCACUAGCAGAUUACAAAGAAAACAAUUUAAAUGACUGAACAUUUAGCAGCAAUGUACAUGAGGCUUAUUUGCUAUAUUCCAUGUACUAUGUAAGGAACCAGAGAAAGAAAGAAAAGUGUGGUACUGUUUCUGCCCAAAGUCUAAUGGAAUAGAUAGAAAGAAAAAGAGAAUGUACCAGAAAGAAUAUAAUGUGAAGAGUAGGAAAAUGAAUAAAUGGGAAAUCAUAAUGGAAAUAUAACCAUGUGGUCGGAAAGGCAGUUUUCACAAAAUACUCUAAAAAUGUGGGAAAAAAAUUGAUUUUUUAAAAGCUUAGAACAAUUCAUAAUGAGGGAAAUUAUGUUUUUUGCCCUAUAAAAAAGCUUGCAAUUCCAAUCUAUUAUAGUAGGACAUGUGUUGUUUGCUAGCUUUUGUUUUCAUUUUUAUAAGAUAAUGAAUUGUAUUCAUCUCCCUUGUGAUUUGGAGCAUAAGGUUUCAUAUAUGUGGGAUGUAACAGUAGAGUAGAAAUAUUAGCUGUUCUAAACAGAUCAUCCUAGCAAUGUUGGUCUUAUUAGCUCAAAAUAACAAAUUCAAACCAUAGAAAUAGUGAAAAAAAAAUCAAACAAGGAAAUGAAGCUAAGCACAUUGCCAUUAGGGUAUGUUCUUUUUGACUGUUGCUGUUGAUUUGGAGAGCUCUAACAAACACUGUUUUAUUUCUAUCCAAUGCGCUAUUAUAAGUCCUUGCCAUGGUAAAUAUCUAUAGGAAGGUAAUCAGAGGCAGAAAUAGGACAGUUUGACACUUUCACAAUUUGGAAAAGAAAGAUAUGGUAAAAAAGUAAUUUCUAAGGUAUUCAAAGCAAAGCUCUUUCUAUUACAACCCAGCAGAAAAAAAUACUUUCUAAUAGAUUACUUAUAAAUUCAUUGGCAUAUUUAAAUUCAGUUGGCAAAUGCUAUUAAUUAACUUAUCAAAUACUGCCCAAACCCAGUUCUUUGGAACUCAAAACACUUAACAAGUACAUGCACGUUUGAGAUUCUGGGUUUAUGAUAGUAUUCAUAGUACCUUUUUUUUUUUUUUUUUUUUUUUUUUUUGCUGUUGUUGUUGUUUUUUAGGGCUGCACUCUGUGGCUCAUGGAAGUUCCCAGUCUAGGGGUCGAAUUGGAGCUGCAGCUGCCAGCCUACGCAAUAACCACGGCAACGCAGGAUCCAAGCCAUGUCUACAACCUGCACCGCAGCUCAUGGCAAUGCCAGAUCCUUAAACAACUGAGCAAAGCCAGGGAUUGAACCUGCAUCCUCAUGGUUACUAGUUAGGUUCAUUACCACUGAGCCACAGCAGGAACUCCUCACAGUAUAGUAUUGAUAUAUAUAUGAUGAGAUAUAUAUAUAUACACACACACAUGAUAUAGUAUUGAUAUAAAAUAGUAUAUAUAUUACAUAUAAUAUUGACAUGAUAGUAUUCACAGUAUAGUAUUGAUGAUUCUCAACCACUGCCCAUAACAUAACAUAUUUAUUCAUUCCUGUAUUCACUCAUGCAUUUAGUAUGGUAUUAUACAUGGGAAAACAGAGAGGAACAUGACACAGUUCCAGACCUCAAGAAACCACAACCUUUUAGAAGAGAUGGCAUCACCUCAGUUCUUGAAGUGCUCAUUCCCUUUCAUUAUAUGUAUACAAAAUGUGGAAUGAAGGAUAGUCCAUGUGAUUCACCUAGCACAAGGCCUGCACAUUCAAAUUGUGAAAAAAUAUUAGCUAUUAUUAUCAUCGUAUUACUUGAAUCUGGACAAUAAUUAUUUUCUAUUUUUGGUCAGAAAAACGCUAAGCAGCUUCUUUGUGAAUACACAGAUCAUAAGUAGAAAUACUGGGAUUCAAACUCAGGUUUCAGUGCUGAGUGAUUUACAUACUCAGUAUUUUUUCUUUCUCCUACCUUAGCUCUCUUCUGAAAUAGUCAUUUCCAAGACUUCCUUGAAAGGAUAAUUCUUAUAAUUGAUAUGGAAAAAUCAUUCAUGUAGUUCUUUCUGAAUCUCCUUUUUCUGUAGCCUAUUUUGCUCCAGAAAAUAUUCUGUAAGAGUUAUUCUUUUACUCUUUUACAGAAAUAUUUAUAAUAUUGCAGCAGCAUGACACUUGUUACUAAAUAAAGAAUAAUCAUUUUAGAAGGAGUGAUUCACUUUUUCCCACAAAAUAUCACAUUAUGGACCCAGCAACUUUAGACCCUUGAUUAACUCUUCUUUUAUAGCUACUAAAAGUAGUUUUUAAAAAACAAAUCUUAAAAAAAGAUGUCAAGCAUGUACUAAAGCUUUGUCAGUUCUGUUUUCAGGCUAGAGUAUUUUUUUUUAACUGCUAAGUUAUACACCCCAUUGGAAUCCAUUACCGUGGCAGGUUUUUCUAGGCAAAUAGCACACCAGAGGGAAGUUUGGCUUUGAGUUUUCUUCUUUCUGAUUUAGUUUAUUCUUUGGUUGCUAAUUUACAUUUUUUCUCUGAAAAAAGAUUAGAAUUAUAAUACAUAUGCAAAAGCAUAAAGCAGAGAAAGACAACCCAUGGCCUCUGACAGUAUGAACUUGGGCAAAUUAACAGCACCGAUUCUGUCUCAGUUUAAACAGCUGUAAACAGGGGUGAUCAUUUCUAUUAUAAAUGUGAGUUUUGAGGAUAAAAAUGUGAUGAUGUCCUGGAGCUGACUGAUUGUUAAUUAUUCAGGAAUUUUAUGAGCUGGAUGUUAAAAUCUUGGUAAUUUAAAAUUGGCAGGGAUGGAGGUGGGGGUAUUUAUUUACACAAUGGAAAAGGCAAAUUAGAGGUUUCCUUUUCCUUCCUGGAGAGCAGGUUUACCAGCACAUCACUGGGUAAUCCUUGCUGCUUAGUAAAGUUCUAGGCCCAUACUAAGAAUUCAGUAUUCUUAGUUCUUAGGUGUAUGAUUAUGAAAUUAAUUUAGAAAUCUGCAUAGUAGCAUUUUUCUUACUUAUCUCUCCAAAGGCUUUUACCAAUUUAUACCAUUAUGCUAACAAUAAAGAUGUCAAGAUAUUUGUAUUAAGAAAUCUACCUUUUAGUACCUGCACAUAAGAAUCAACUAAGUUUUCAUGAGAGAAAACUUCUCAUUAGUUGACAGCCAAGAGGCCUUAAUGAAAUACUUCUGGUUGCAAGUCAUUGUAAACCUCUGGUAUUAUUCCUUCUCUUUGGUGUCAAUACACAAAAUAUUUCAUGGAUUAAUCUGAGCUAACAUUAAAACAAGUACUUUCUAAGCGGAACCUUCCACCUCAUCUCUCUGUUCAUCUGUUGGCUUCUAUUACUCUUAUUUCUUCUAUGCAAAGAAUUUUGUUUACCUGAAAGUAAAUGUUUGAAAAAAUCACAUACAAAUUCAAAAUGUGUUUUUAAUGAUAGGUCUGUGGCUUGGCUUGCAGAGAGCAUCCAUAUAUCAAAUACAUUUAUGGCUGUGUCAUGAACUUGAUCUGGACAGAGGGAAAGCAGGAUUCCAGGUGGAGAGGAGUAGAUUCCCAAACUUGUGCAAAUGAUUAGAGGCAGCUGUUUAAAUUCAUAUUUGGAGGGUAAACUCGGAAAUGGGCCACAUUUUUUUUUUAGUAGGACUACUUCUACUCAGAGGAGUGAGGGGAUCUUCUGUAGCUAGCUAGCAGAUGUUGGGGAAGGAAUAUUCCUCGUUGAAACAUAAAACAGAGAAAGGAUACAGAGAAUAAAUAAGGCAUGUCAAAGGAUGUUGAAGGAAUACUUUUCUGUUAGUCAAUAUUGACUAACAGAAAAAAAAAUUUCUUGAUCAAGGCCCUUUUAUUUUUGAUGAAGUGUUUAGGAAAGUUAUUGCUCAGACCCAAUUACCUUUCUCUUAUCUUCCUAACAUGCUAUUGGUUUAUAUAGUUUCAUCUCAAAAUAUAUAUCUAAGAUAUAAAUUGAAUAAGUGUAUAAUAUAUGAAUACAUAGUCUCACAGUGACUUUUACUUUUUUCUGAUUGUAAUGUUUUAUAACAAUGUAAAAUUUCAAGAAAUAGAGGAGUGUA